AUAAAUAGAACCCAUUCUAUGGGACGCAGGACCUGCCCUGUUGAUUUGGGAAUCGUUACCUAUAUGACAAAGUAAGGUGUAGCUGCUUUAAAAGUAUAGCAUUCCAGUUGAACUACAUUUAAGGUAAGCGUGCAGUGUAUGAAAACACCUUUAACUGGCUAUCAUUUUUAAGCACUGAUGACAUCGUGAAGAAGUAUCCGCUAUUUCUCCAGGCAAAGACUGUAAAUAGUGAAAAUGCUUUUCAAAAAGUCGAUAGAUGAAUCACAGUCUCAAAACCAUCACUCAUAACGCAUCUUAAGGCAAAACUCUGCAUUUCUUAUUGCAAAAGUCUCUUCUGCUGAGAUAAUUGGAUUUAUGAUAUCAACAAUGACAAGAAAUGUAAUGAAUAAGAUCAGUAGCAUAAG